rnacentral:sRNA from 1 species
AUUUUGCGAACGGCGAGCAGCGGCGGCGGCGCGGAGAGGGGCAGCGGAGGUUUUCCUGGUUUCGGACCCCAGCGGCCGGAUGGUGAAAUCCUCCCUGCAGCGGAUCCUCAAUAGCCACUGCUUCGCCAGGAGAGAAGGAAGGGAAUAAACCCAGCGCCACCAUCCACGCCAGCCGCACCAUGCCGCUCCUAAGCCUGCACAGCCGCGGCGGCAGCAGCAGUGAGAGUUCCAGGGUCUCCCUCCGCUGCUGUAGUAACCCGGGUCCGGGGCCUCGGUGGUGCUCCUGAUGCCCCUCACCCACCCCUGAAGAUCCCAGGUGGGCGAGGGAAUAGUCAGAGGGAUCACAAUCUUUCAGCUAACUUAUUCUACUCCGUGAGUAUGGGGCCGGGCCUGCGGUGGGGUGGGUGGGGCCAGGCUUGCUGGGGCUGCUCUGGGGCCACAGGCACUUCUUGUGCAUCUUGCUGCCCGUACCUGUGAUUGAAUUUAACCCUGGGAACCCUGAGUUUCGUCAGAGCCAGCGCACAGUCUCCUGCAGCCCAGGCCUUGCCUGAGCUCAACACGGCCUAGGCCCAAGCCUUAGCGCUGCCGGGUUCUUGGAGUCCUGUGGGGUGAGUCGGGGUUCUGAAUUGGGCUGCACCCCCUGGACAGGAUGAUCGGCUGAAUGUAACAGAGGAACUAACAUCCAACGACAAGACGAGGAUUCUCAACGUCCAGUCCAGGCUCACAGACGCCAAACGCAUUAACUGGCGAACAGUGCUGAGUGGCGGCAGCCUCUACAUCGAGAUCCCGGGUGGCGCGCUGCCCGAGGGGAGCAAGGACAGCUUUGCAGUUCUCCUGGAGUUCGCUGAGGAGCAGCUGCGAGCCGACCAUGUCUUCAUUUGCUUCCACAAGAACCGCGAGGACAGAGCCGCCUUGCUCCGAACCUUCAGCUUUUUGGGCUUUGAGAUUGUGAGACCGGGGCAUCCCCUUGUCCCCAAGAGACCCGACGCUUGCUUCAUGGCCUACACGUUCGAGAGAGAGUCUUCGGGAGAGGAGGAGGAGUAGGGCCGCCUCGGGGCUGGGCAUCCGGCCCCUGCGGCCACCCCUUGUCAGCCGGGUGGGUAGGAACCGUAGACUCGCUCAUCUCGCCUGGGUUUGUCCGCAUGUUGUAAUUGUGC